GGUUAAGUCAGGCAACGAGCGAGAUCCGCACCUUUAUUUGCCACCAAGAAGUCACGACUUCGUUGGGAACACUAAAGGGACCGCCGUCGAUAAGACGGAGGAAGGAGCGGGCAAAGGCAGGUCAGUAUGCCCCGAAACCCCUGGGCUACACGCGGGCUGCAAUGGUAUGAACAAUGGGCUGUGACUCCGAAAGGAGAAACCAAUCCCGAAAUCAUAUCUCAGUUGGAAUUGUCGGCUGUAACCCGCCGACAUGAACGCGGAAUCCCUAGUAAUCGUGUGUCAUUAUCGCACGGUGAAUACGUCCCUGCUCCUUGCACAAA
rnacentral:rRNA from 1 species